UACGUAGGGGGCGAGCGUUGUCCGGAAUUAUUGGGCGUAAAGAGCUCGUAGGCGGUUGGGUAAGUCGGGUGUGAAAACUCCAGGCUCAACUUGGAGAUGCCACCCGAUACUGCUCUGACUUGAGUUCGGUAGGGGAGUGGGGAAUUCCUGGUGUAGCGGUGAAAUGCGCAGAUAUCAGGAGGAACACCGGUGGCGAAGGCGCCACUCUGGGCCGAAACUGACGCUGAGGAGCGAAAGCGUGGGUAGCAAACAGG
rnacentral:rRNA from 1 species